GUUUUUCCAGCAUCAUUUGUUAGACUAUUCUUACCUCCAUGGUGAUUCUUGGCGCCAUUGUCAAAGGCCAGCUGACUGUAUAUGUAUAUGUCACUGUGACAUUCCCUAUGCAGAGGCCCAUGUGGCAAGAAACUGAUGUGUCCUUCCAACAGCCAGGCCUGAGACCUCACAAGACCCAACUGGAUCUCCCAGAGGGAGCAGGCAGACCACAAUUUCUGCUGCCCCACAGCCCUCAAAGUUUUCACUCUCCGGCUCUGGAGGGUGCUCAGUGACUAGAGACUGGUGUGGACCCCCAGCACAGUGUAGCUACCCCAUGAAAAACCGGGAACCCGCAAGAGACAAGUGAAAAAAUCUCUCUCACA
rnacentral:lncRNA from 1 species